UUACCUGUAAUAAAACAGAGAAAAUGGUCGAAAUUGAUUUUAAAAAGUGUUUUGAAAAAUUACAGUAGUUUCAGGGCUUGUUAGAGAGAUAAUAGUUGAUUUUUCCAGAUUGUUUAUGUACAGAACUACAUUUCGAGUAUCGAAUGAAUAUUGUCUUGCCAAGUUACCAGUCAAGGAGGAUCUUAUCAUCAUAAUAGAUGAAUCAGGAACUAAGUGAUAAGAGAAGUGUAUGCUUGUUGCAACUGUAGCCAGAAAUCUGUAGUAUAUGUAAAGGUUAGAUGUUUAAAAUUUCUCUUGGUCUUUGAUAUCUUAGUGCCAACCCUAAGAUGAUACAAUUCUCUUUUAAUGCACGGCCUGAUUGUUACGGAGCUCGACUCACAAUCUGAGGGUCAUGAGUUUGAUUCCCCAUUACCGAACAUGCUCAUUCUGUGUGGUUGCCAUCUGGACCGUCCACCUGGGUGUAAAAAUUCUUGGCUUACAAGAUUACCAGCUGACUCCAAACUAUUGAGAUUAAGGUUUUUACGGAAAAAAGACAAAGAAUAAAAGAGCAGGAAAAGUAGACAGUGUUUUUUGUAAUAUCUGUGGAAAACAAUAUUCCUCAAAAAAGUCUUUAUCAGCACAUCGGCAUUAUCAACAUAGAAGUCAUCGCAACUUCUCAUGUCAGUAUUGUGGAAAGAUUUACACUAGAAGAACAACACUACAGUAUCACCUCCUCAUUCAUAAUUAGUCUUCAUAAUAUUUUUAUUAGUGGAAGCUACUUUUUGUUUUACUUAAGUACCACGUGAAGAUCUUAACUAAAAGAACAAUUUAAUUAUCAUUUCAUCAUUUAUAACUAACUUUAUGUUGUUGCAUAUGUAAUUUUACUCUCUUUAAGAGUUGAAAAUCAUCCUUACUGGAUGAGCAUCACUGAAAUACUAAUUCACAACCAAGUUUGUAUUGUUGACCAAUUUUUCUUUAUUAUUGAAAAGCUUUUAUUAAACAUUUUUAGUAUUAGAUGCUAAUCACUAUUCCUGAUUAAGUAUUGACAGCAGAUUCCCUGUUUUUGAGAACCUUGUAAAGGUAUAUUUCAAACUUAAACCUAUGCCUAGUAAAUGUAAUAAUAUUUCAUUAAUUUUAGUGUCAUUGCUUUUAAUUGACACUUCUUAUAUAUUGUUUAAAAAAUUUGAUAAAAACAUGGUUGUUAUUGUUAUAUUUGAGUAAAUUUUGCUGUUUAAUAUAAUUUGAUAAUCUUGUCACUGUAUAGAUGUAAGAUCAUGGAGAACAAAACUGGUAUAUAAAAGUCUUUAACAAUUUAUUGUGACUUGAUUUGUUUUAUGUUUACUUCAAAAGACAGUGAGUAAAAUAUUAGCUCAUAUACAAUCCUAGUGAAGCACAAUAUUUUUGUAUGCUUUGCUGUAGUGUGUCAGUCUGUUCAAAAUUGAAAAUCUUUAUUGACACAGAUUGUAGCGUACAUGUGUCAUUUUUGAGAAAUUAGUGAUAGAAAACAAAUUGCAUUUACAAACACAAUAUCUAAUAAAAUAUGGAUGUCAAAUUAAUUAAUGAUAAGAUUUUCAUAUACAAACACAUAUAUAUUUAU